CGGCCGCCGUCGCCAGCCGCGCCGCGCGCGCAGAUCUCUCCGAGUCUUUCCAUAUCUAUUGCAGCAAAAAAAUCCAGACGCCAUCGCCGCGCCUCAGCUGUGUUCGCCGCUCGGUCGGCCUGCUGCUGCCCCUCGAACGGAAAUCGAAUCGACAACGCGAAACUAGAUUUACGGGUUUCGAACCAGUUGCAACUAUGCUCCGAGCACAUUUGGAAACAAUUAAGGAGGUUGUUUCUGUUGUAUAAGCAAGACGCCUGUCUGUUUUGAUGAACGUAGAGACAGAUGACUUGCAGACACCACCGAGUUGAUUGCAUGUUGUUCUGGGUUAGGAGGUCUAUUUUAGAUGAACAUGCAGUUUAUCAAAUGAACGCAAUUGUCAAAGCAACUGCAAGAAUACAAUCGAAAGAAUCAUAAUAAGAGGAUACAAGCUAACAGCAAUGUCUAAAUGAAAAUGACAGCAACACGUGGGAACCAACAUCCCAUCUGUAUCCUGGAAGUCGGGUUUAACAUUAUUUUUUGUGAAAAUAACCUUUCAACUCAAACCAGUGAAACUAUAAUGCAAAUUUUCAGCCGCCAACUGAAAUACUGCGAAUAUGAAUGACAUUAUAUCGACUCUUGAGAUAUGAAGAAUUGCCAGAAUGAUAAUAAACAUCUCUGCAACGAAGACUGUCUGGCUUCCUGCCAAUCUGUGCUCGCCGUACGUUUUCUAUUCUCUGUGUGGUUCUAAAUCUAUAACUUUACGAGAAUUUAUUUCCAAUGCUGCCUUUAAAUCAUGUAAAUGUUUCGU